AGAGUUUGAUCCUGGCUCAGGACGAACGCUGGCGGCGUGCCUAACACAUGCAAGUCGAGCGGGGUGAGUUCUUCGGAACGAUCCUAGCGGCGGACGGGUGAGUAACACGUGGGUAACCUGCCUCAAAGUGGGGGAUAGCCUUUCGAAAGGAAGAUUAAUACCGCAUAACCCAUAGCUUCCGCAUGGAAGCAAUGGUAAAGAUUUAUCGCUUUGAGAUGGACCCGCGGCGCAUUAGCUAGUUGGUGAGGUAACGGCUCACCAAGGCCACGAUGCGUAGCCGACCUGAGAGGGUGAUCGGCCACAUUGGAACUGAGACACGGUCCAGACUCCUACGGGAGGCAGCAGUGGGGAAUAUUGCACAAUGGGCGCAAGCCUGAUGCAGCAACGCCGCGUGAGUGAUGAAGGCCUUCGGGUUGUAAAGCUCUGUCUUUGGGGACGAUAAUGACGGUACCCAAGGAGGAAGCCACGGCUAACUACGUGCCAGCAGCCGCGGUAAUACGUAGGUGGCAAGCGUUGUCCGGAUUUACUGGGCGUAAAGGGUGCGUAGGUGGAUAUUUAAGUCAGAUGUGAAAUCCCUGAGCUCAACUCAGGGCCUGCAUUUGAAACUGGAUGUCUGGAGUGCGGGAGAGGUAAGUGGAAUUCCUAGUGUAGCGGUGAAAUGCGUAGAGAUUAGGAAGAACACCAGUGGCGAAGGCGACUUACUGGACCGUAACUGACACUGAGGCACGAAAGCGUGGGUAGCAAACAGGAUUAGAUACCCUGGUAGUCCACGCCGUAAACGAUGAGUACUAGGUGUAGGG
rnacentral:rRNA from 1 species